GGCCAUCAAGUUUGCAGCCUUCUCUUCCUACAUUACUAGGGCAUCUGCUGUUAUCAAUGGCAUCAGGGCUUAGCGUUGACGAGAGCCAUGUGCCCGAUCAAAUCCAAGACCCGUGGAUGCUCACCUGUAGCCCCACUCGUUGUCGUACCAAGAGACGAGCUUCAUGAAAGAAGAACUUAAGCCAAUUCCAGCCUUGGCAUCAAAUAUGCUAGACCUGGAAUCACCAAUGAAAUCAUUCGAAACGACGUCCUCAUCUGUGUAGCCUAAAAUACCUUUCAAAGAACCUUCUGAGGCCAUACUUGAUAGCUGCUUUCACAUCCUCAUAAGAAGCACUUUUCUCAAGACGGCAUGUCAAGUCAACUACAGAGACGUUAGGUGUAGGAACUCGGAAGGCCAUACCAGUGAGUUUCCCGUUUAAUGCUGGAAGGACCUUUCCAACAGCCUUUGCUGCGCCAGUAGAACUAGGGAUGAUGUUCUGACUAGCACCCCGUCCUCCCCUCCAAUCUUUCAUUGAAGGACCGUCGACAGUCUUUUGGAAAACCUGUUGUAGCAUGGACAGUUGUCAUGAGGCCCUCAGCUAUGCCAAAUUCCUCAAAAAUACCUUGGCAAGGGGCGCAAGACAGUUGGUAGUACAACUUGCAUUAGAGACAACAUUCAUGCUGGGGUUGUAAUUCUUCUCAUUUACUCCGACUACAAACAUAGGAGCAUCUGCGGAUGGAGCAGAUAUCACUACUUUCCUUGCACCACCCUUUAAGUGUGCUGAUGCUUUCUCAGUUGUUGUAAAAACACCAGAUGAUUCAACAACAUAUUCAGCUCCAAAGUUUCCCCAAGGAAUAUCUGAGGGAUCUCUUUUGCUUGUAACUGAAAUUUUCUUCCCAUUAAUCUCCAAGGUUGACUCAUCCACAACCUUUAUGGUGCCUUUAAAUGGACCAUGUGUCGAAUCAUACUUGAACAUAUAAGCCAUGUACUUAGCAUCGAUAAAAGGAUCAUUAACAGCCACAACUUCAAUGUCAUCUCUAUUAGUUGCAAUUCGUAGAACCAACCUCCCAAUCCGUCCAAAUCC
rnacentral:sRNA from 1 species